CCCACGGCAUUGGUGAUUGGCCGCCCGCGAGCCCAGAGCAUGUGAAGGCGAAGGCAAAGGCGAAGGCGAAGGUUCGAACGUUGCUUGGAUAACAGUUGCGAACUACAUUCGACUGGUGUCCAGGGGUCUUGGGGCUUGAGUUCUCAGUGGCCACUGGGCUUCUCUCCUUAGGCAGCGGAGCCUCUACUAGGCUUUGUCUGGGUCCCAUGGCGUGUCUGUCUUGUCUCUCUUCUCUCCCAUCCAUUGCCAGCCCUCGGGAGACCCGGAGACAAGCGGGGCUGAGCGCGCGAGUUUUGACGUCAGCACCCCUUCGGUGAGGCUCCCUUUCUUCUCCCGCCAACCCAGCCCCAACUUCCAUUUGCCCCCAUCAUGCAGCACACCCUCUUCCCUCUGCCUAGAUUCAGCUCUGCAAGCCUGCCAACUCUGUCUCGGACUCCAUGCCCUCCCGCCCACUCCUUUCCCUCUCCACAGUGGCUGUUGACCAUCCCUGGAGGUGGACAUGGAUGGAAGGGACCACAGACACCAGCACAGAUGCCUAGGGAUCCUCAGCUGUCUCUCCAGCUUCCAUUACUCUCUAAAACCUCCCAGUUGGAAGGCUCCCAUAUGUCCUCAGUCUAUUCCUGUCAAGGGCUCUUCUUCCCCUCCCUGUCUCUUCUCUCUGACCCUCUCUCUCUCUCUUUCUCUCUCUCUCUCUCUCUCUCUCUCUCUCUCUCUCUCUCUCUCUCUCUCUCUCUCUCUCUCUCUCUCUCUCUCUCUCCUCUCUGUCCCUCUCUCUUUCUGCUUAGGAGACUGUAAAGCUUCUCUCUACAGUCCUCCAUGCAGAAGGAUAUUGUCUACUUGAAUUAUGUGAUUCCUAUUCCUGAUUUUAUUCUUUCAUAUAGAGCAAAGAUUUGCACUUCUCUAUAUGAAUAUGGAAUGGGACAAGUCCUAGGAAGAGAAGAGAAGGAUAGUCUUCCUCCACAGGAGUACACAGUCCCUCUUGGUGUAUAGGGCUCAUCCUCCCUGAGGAGUCAUUAUAUGUCCUCCUGAGUAUUCCUUUACAUAUUUAUAUUCUCCAUAUGUUCUCCCCCUUUGGUCCUCUCCAUAGGAGAAGAGGUGUAUAAUAUGUCAGAUUCUCUGAGGUGAUUGUGCCGCGGUGAGUAUUGCUGUGUGGGUUUCUGGUACAACAACAUCUCUUUAUCCAACUUUAUAAGAAAGAGGCUGGAAUAUGACCAGCUGAGAGGGGUUUUUACAGGCUCCAGGUUCUUCUUUUUGGCUUCCCUUUUUCUUUGCACCACUGCCAGUCUCUUCUCAAAUCAAUGAGUGGCUUCAGGAGACCAUGAUGGAUAUUUGGGGUCCAGGACUUUAGCAGGUCUCCCCUGGGGGUCUUUUUACAGCUCUGAUCUGGCUUCUGGCCUCAUGGCCUUUCUCUUUAGGCUGGUUGCCUGUUGAGGUCCAUGAGGCUAAUGCAGUGUGCAUGGUGGGGCAGAACCUUUCUGCUUGGGUUGGGCACUGCCCCACAAACCUGUCCACUCUAAGAAUGGAAAGGGCAGUUUUCCACUGAGCUCUGGUAAUGGGGCAGCAGCAGCAGCAGCAGCAGCAGCAGCAGCAGCAGGCUUUCUGAGUCUCCUCAUUACCCUAGAAUCCUAGGGUAGCCCAAGCAGAUGUCUUUGUCUAGGAUCCAAGUCCUCCCUCUGCUCUGCCCAUCACCUCCACCUUCUUUCCAAUCCUUGAAAGCCCAGGAAGUUUGGACCUGCUGAUCAAGUAAGUGCUGCUGGUCCUCUUAGUGGAUUCAGCUCCUCUCCAUGGAGCCUUCCUUGACCACUGCCUGUCCAAGGUUCUCCCACUUGGCCCAGCUCUUGGCCAGGACUUCCACAUUCAGCUUAGGAAAGGCUCUCCUCUCCUCUCCCUCGUUAGGCUUGGGGUGCAACUGGUGAUGGCCAUCCCCCUUCUUUCACUCAUGGAAGAAACCCAUGCUGAGAUGCUGUCGGGUUUGCUCAGACUCCUUCUGCUAAGUGUCCAUCCCAGACUGACCAAAGGCCUGGGAUUUGUUUUAUGACUUUCACUUAACACUCUGGCCAUAACUAAAGACUUCUAGAAAUUUUAUUUUCAGGAAUAAAAUGAUAGCCCUGCCUGUUUUUUUGUGCAGACGCAACAGCUCAACUCCUAAGUAUUUUAUUGAAUAAUGUUACUAUGGGCUUUCUUUGUGACCUCAAGCCUGUGAUUCCUGACUGUUGGAAAUCUUGGCAGGAAGACAGAGAGAGAGAGAGAGAGAGAGAGAGAGAGAGAGAGAGAGAGAGAGAGAGAGAGAGACAGAGACAGAGACAGAGAGACAGAGAGAGAGAGAGAGAGAGACAGAGAGAGAGAGAGAGAGAGAGACAGACAGAGACAGAGAGACACAGAGACACAGAGAGAGCCAGCCAGACAGAGAUACAGAGAAAAAGAGAGACAGACAGAGCGACACACAGAGAGACAGAGAGACAGAGUGGGGCUCACAGGUCUGUUUCCACUCCUUCAUGGCUUUGUGUAAUCUUGGCUAAGACUCUGCCCUGUUCCUGACUUCCCUUUACCAUUACAUCCAAUGGGAAAUUUGGAGCCAGAUGACCUCUGAGGUCUUUUUUAGCUCUCCAUCCCACCCAAACCUACAAGCUCUUUCAGAUUCGUGCUCCAUCAGGCCAAGAAACUCUGCCAGGCCUCCCCACCCCCAUGCCCUAUGUGACUUCCUACCCACCCAGAGACAUCGGAGGGGAGGGUUCCAUGGUUCUUUAGGUACUAGUUCCUAACUUUGUCCCUAAGUUCAACACAUGUCCAGGGGUCUUGGGUCUUGGGGUUAGUAGCCACUAUUAUUUUUUUACAUCGGUAGUCGAGACUCUAGCAGGCUUUGAGUGGGUCCCAUGGUAUCUCUCACUUCCCAUUCCCAGCCCUUACAGGACGAUGAGACAAUCAGAAGCUGACUUCAGGCUCGGUGGCUCCCUCUGAGCUCUGGUGAUGUCAGCAUCCAACUUGAUAAGGUUAUAUUUCCUCUCCUGCCAACCCAGACCCAUCCUCUAUCCACACCAACCUAGAGUCAGCUCCCUAAGCCUCCCUACACUCUCAGACUCCAUUAGCUCCUGCCCCCUCCAAAUCCUCCCCCACUCAUUUCCACCUCCCCAAUUGCUGCUGCCCGUGUCUGGAAGUGACAGGGGAUUUUGUGACUGACUACUGCCAUUGCUGUGCCUGGAGAUGGAUAGAGAGGGCCUUGGGAACCAGGAAAAAUGCCUGCUAGCCCUCAUCUGUGUGUCCAGACAUCCCCCUAAGACAUUCCUCUGUUGCCACCCCAUUAAAAAUACCUUGCCCUUGGUAUGUUCUGAAGCAGGAGGGCUCCAAUAUGGCCUCUGCCUAUUCAUGCCAAGGGGUCCUUGUCCUUUCUCUCUCUCAAUUCCUUCUGAGGAGACCUUAAAGUUUCUUUAUACAAACCUCCAUAGAAAAAGUAUUGUCUACUUCAGUUAUAUAUACAUUUAUGUGUGUAUGCAGUCAUGGUUAUACACUUUCAUUUACAGAAAAAUCAAUAUUUAUAUAUAUUUAUAUGGAAUAGAUGAUAACUCAUAUGGAGAAUAUAAACAUACUCCAGUUCUCUAUAUAAAUAUUCCCCUACUAUUUCUCUAUUCUUUAGUGCAUAUAUAUUCACUCUAUAUUAAUUUAUAUGAUUCAUUCUUCAUCAAUGAGUAUUCAUUAUAUAUUCUUUAUUUUUUUCCUUUCACUUAAGCCUAUGGACAAAACUAAAGAAGCCCAGAACCCCUGUUUCUAUAGGUAACCUGCCAGCCGUGUCCCAUUUUUUGUGAAAGCAAUAGACCAAAGCAAAGAAUUUUAUUUUAUAAAGUCACUAUGGGCUUUCUUUGUGACCUCAAGCCUGUGAUGCCUGAUUGGGGACCAUGGCCAAGGUGUAACACAGUAGACUUGUAGGGAGAAAGAGAACUCAGUUCACAGGUCUGUGCCUUCCCCUUCCUCCUUGUGUGACUUUGAACAACUUCCUGCCCUGCUCUUGACUUCUCUUACCUAUGUCCAAUGAGGAAGUUGGACCAUAUGACCUCUGAGGUCUCUGUUAGUCCUCCAUCCCAUGCCAAACCACAUGCCUUUUCAAACUUCAGUCCCAUCAGGCUGAGAAAACUCUGCCAGGCAAACAAUUUCCCUGGGGGGGGGCAGUGCCCAGCUAACUAGUUCAAUCUUUCCCCUAAGCCUUUGUGGAUUGACCUCCCAGGAGCAGAAGUAUUCCCCCACCGACACCACAUGUGAAUGACCCCUGGGGAUCCCAGCAGAGUCCAAGGAAUGACACCUAUGUUCACCCUCUAUUAAUGAAUUUGAGCCAUUCUUCAUAACUCUCGGGAGACCCGGAGACAAGCGGAGCUGAGUUCUAGCUGGAGGUGCGGCGCUGAGCGCGCGAGUGUUGACGUCAGCACCCCUUCGGUAAGGCUCCCUUUCUUCUCCUGCCAACCCAGCCCCAUCCUCCAUUCGCCCCCACCAUGCAGCACACCCCCUUCCCUCUGCCUAGAUUCAGCUCUGCCUAGAUUCAGCUCUGUAAGCCUGCCAACUCUGUCUUGGACUCCAUGCCCUCCCGCCCACUCCUUUCCCUCUCCCAAUGCCCAUCCCUGGCGCUGGACAUGGAUGGAAGGGACCACAGACACCAGCACAGAUGCCUAGGGACCCUCAGCUGUCUCUCCAGCUUCCAUUACUCUCUAAAACUUCCCAGUUGGAAAUCUCCCAUAUGUCCUCAGUCUAUUCCUGUCAAGGGCUCCUAUUCCCCUUCCUGUCUGUCUCUCUCUCUUCUCUCUCUCUUUCUGCUUAGGAGACUGUAAAGCUUCUCUGUACAGUCCUCCAUGCAGAAGGAUAUUGUCUACUUGAAUUAUGUGAUUCGUAUUCCUGAUUUUAUUCUUUCAUAUAGAGCAAAGAUUUGCACUCCUCUAUAUGAAUAUGGAAUGUGACAACUCCUAGGAAGAGGAGAGAAGGAUAGUCUUCCUCCACAGGAGUACACAGUCCCUCUUGGUAUAUAGGGCUCAUCCUCCCUGAGGAGUCAUUAUAUGUUCUCAUGUGUAUUCCUUUACAUAUUUAUAUUCUCCAUAUGUUCUCCCCCUUUGGUCCUCUCCAUAGGAGAAGAGGUGUAUAAUAUGUCAGAUUCUCUGAGGUGAUUGUGCCGCGGUGAGUAUUGCUGUGUGGGUUUCUGGUUCAACAACAUCUCUUUAUCCAACUUUAUAAGAAAGAGGCUGGAAUAUGACCAGCUGAGAGGGGUUUUUACAGGCUCCAGGUUCUUCUUUUUGGCUUCCCUUUUUCUUUGCACCACUGCCAGUCUCUUCUCAAAUCAAUGAGUGCCUUCAGGAGACCAUGAUGGAUAUUUGGGGUCCAGGACUUUAGUAGUUCUCCCCUGGGGGGUCCUUUUUACAGCUCUGAUCUGGCUUCUGGCCUCAUGGCCUUUCUCUUUAGGCUGGUUGCCUGUUGAGGUCCAUUAGGCUAAUGUAGUGUGCAUGCUGGGGCAGAACUUUUCUGCUUGGGUUGGGCACAGCCCCACAAACCUGUCCACUCUAAGAAUGGAAAUGGCAGCUUUCCACUGAGCUCUGUUGAAGGGGCAGCAGCAGCAGCAGCAGCAGCAGCAGCAGGCUUUCUGACUCUCCUCAUUACCCUAGAAUCCUAGGGCAGCCCAAGGAGAUGUCUUUGUCUAGCAUCCAAGUCCUCCCUCUGCUCUGCCCAUCACCUCCACCUUCUUUCCAAUCCUUGAAAGCCCAGGAAGUUUGGACCUGCUGAUCAAGUAAGUGCUGCUGGUCCUCUUAGUGGAUUCAGCCCCUUUCCAUGGAGCCUUCCUUCACCACUGCCUGUCCAAGGUUCUCCCAGUUGGCCCAGCUCUUGGCCAGGACUUCCACAUUCAGCUUAAGAAAGGCUCUCCUCUCCUCUCCCUUGUUGGGCUUGGGUUGAAACAGGUGAUGGCCAUCCCCCUUCUUUCACUCAUGGAAGAAACCCAUGCUGAGAUGCUCUGGGAUUUGCUCAGACUCCUCCUGCUAAGUGUCCAUCCUUGGAAUUUUGUUUCCACCUGACUCCUCCAGGCAAAAAUCAGACUCCAAGAACCAGUAUUUUCAUGGAUAAUCUGCCAGCCGUGCCUCUUUUUUGUGUGGAGGCAGCAUCUGGACAGCAAAGUAUUUUAUUCUGUAUUAAGUCGAUAUGAACCUCCUAAGUGACCUCCAGUGAUGCCUUCCCAUUGGAGGAGAUAGAGGCCCAGGUGUAAGACAGCUAGUUUUGCAGGAAGAGAGAUAGAGAAGGGUGGGGGGCAGUAGGUGGAGGGGGGCAGAGAGAGGGAGGGAGCUGGACUCAAAGACCUGUUUCUGCCCCUUCCUGGCUCUGUGAUCAUAGCCAAGCCCUUGGCCUGGGCUGGCCUGGCCUGGGCUUCCCUUCUUUACUGUGACCAGUUGAGGAAGUCUGAUUAGAUGACCCUUGAGGGCUCUUUUCUGUUAGGCCUCCAUCCCAUACCAACAUACAAGCCCUUUCAGACACACUGGAACCCCACCUCCCUGAGAGCACUCUAAGAGGUUACUGGUUUCUUUUGGGUGCUGUCCUCACUAGCUAGGACAGUGGUUUGAAGCUUUAUCCCUUGGAAUAAAACCCAUGGGUCUUUGUGGACCUGCCUCCAUCAUGAGAGGUUUCCCCCCAAUCUUCUGUGUCCAGCCUCCUUUGAGCUUAAAGGCAUUGACCAUGAAGGUCCUAAUGUUUGUUAGGUUCCAGUUGCAAAUUUCUAUCAGUUUGAUAGGUGUCUUGGGGCUUGAGAUGAGGGUCCACUGGUCUUCUCUCCUUAAGAGGCUGAGCCUCCAAGUAGGCUUUGAGUGCAUUCCAUGGCAUCUCUCACUUUUAUCCAGUUCCAGCCCUUGAGGGACCAUGAAUGGUGUCAUUAGCAUCUUCCUUGAUAAGGCUGCUUAUCUUCUCCCAACAAUCCCACCCCAGCCUCCAUUCACCCCACCCCUCCCACCCCCACCCCCACCAUGUAUUCCCAGCCUUCCCUCUGCCUAGACUUAGUGUCCCAUGCUUCCCUAGUCUCUAGGACUUCAUUCCUGGCUAUUCUCCCAACCCCCUUCCAAUCCUUUCCACCUCCUUAAUUGCUGCUGCCUGUGGAGGUUUUCUCACUGACUGACUGCUGCCAUUCCUGGAUGAAAAUCUGAAGACUGGUGACCCACAGCUGUUUGGCCAUCUAUCCCUCUGUCACCCCUGAAAAAGAACCGGGCAUGUUGCCUGCUCAUGAAGGUGGGCUCCUAUAUGUUUUCUGUCUAUUCCUGUGCAGGGAUUAGUUUCCUUUUUCUCUCUCACUUCCUGCUGAGAGGACCUAAUGAUUUUCCUUUUCAGUCUUAUCUGCAGAGAAAUAUUGCCUACUUCAGUGAUCUAAGUCACUAUCUAUCUAUCUAUCUAUCUAUCUAUCUAUCUAUCUAUCUAUCUAUCUAUCUAUCCAUCCUUCCACCUAUCCAUCAAUCUAUCUAUCUUUAUUCAUGUAUUGAUCCAUCUAACCAUCUAAUGUACAUCAAUCCAUUCAUCUAGCUAGCUAUCCAUCUCUAUCAAUCCAUCCAUCUACGUCUCCAUCUCUAUCUAUCCAUCCAUCUGCCCUUCUGUCUGUCCAUCAAUUUAUCCAUCCAGCCAUGUAUCUAUCCGUCUAUCGAUCCACCUACUCUUGGUUAUCGUCUUUCAUAUACAGUAAAUGCUAGUAUUUAUGGAUCUGAAUUUGAAAAUAGUGGACAAUUCUUUUUUUUAUUUUUUUUAUUUUUUUAAAAAAUAUAUUUUAUUUGAUCAUUUCCAAGCAUUAUUUGUUAAAGACAUAAAUCAUUUUCUUUUCCUACCCCCCAACCCCCAUAGCCGACGCGGAAGGCCACUGGGCAUUAGAUGUUUUCUUGAUUUGAACCCAUUGCUUUGUUGUUAGUAUUUGCAUUAGAGUGUUCAUUUAGAGUCUAUCCUCUGUCAUGUCCCCUCAACCUCUGUAUUCAGGCAGUUGCUUUUUCUCGGUGUUUCUACUCCCAUAGUUUAUCCUUUGCUUAUGAAUAGUGUUUUUUUCUCCUGGAUCCCUGCAAGUUGUUCAGGGACAUUACACCGCCACUAAUGGAGAAGUCCAUUACAUUCGAUUGUACCACAGUGUAUCAGUCUCUGUGUACAAUGUUCUCCUGGUUCUGCUCCUCUCGCUCUGCAUCACUUCCUGGAGGUUGUUCCAGUCUCCAUGGAACUCCUCCACUUUAUUAUUCCUUUUAGCACAAUAGUAUUCCAUCACCAACAUAUACCACAGUUUGUUCAGCGAUUCCCCAAUUGAUGGGCAUCCCCUCGUUUUCCAGUUUUGGGCCACCACAAAGAGUGCAGCUAUGAAUAUUCUUGUACAAGUCUUUUUCUCCAUUAUCUCUUUGGGGUACAGACCCAGUAGUGCUAUGGCUGGAUCAAAGGGUAGACAUUCUUUUGGGGGACAAUUCUUUUUGAAGAGAAUUGAGUGGUGGCUCUAUUCUCUGUAGAAGUUUUCUCAAGUUAUUGCUCUAUUAAUCCUCUAAUUCUUCUCUCUGUUUGUGCUCAGGAGACCUUAAGGUUUCUCUUGUUGUCUCGCUCUUCUCUCUCUGUCUCUGUCUCAGGUAUCUGUAUAUUCCUUGUGAUACUCUUCCAUAAACAAUAAACUUAAGUGUAUGUAUAUGCGUAUGAAAUAGAUGACCAUUUUACUGGAAGUGAACUGAAAGGUACUCCUGUUGUCUAUCUUCAGUAUUCCUGUAUUGUUUCUCUACUCUUAGGAAUGGCACCUAUGUUCACCCUCUAUUAAUGAAUUUGAGCCAUUCUUCAUGAGUGAGUAUUCAUGAUAUCUUCUUGUUGAUUUCCUUUCCCUUGAGCGGAUUUUACAUGUCAAGCCUGCCAGCAAACCCCUAUUCCUUUGUGAAUCCUGGCAGCUGUCCCUCUUUGUGGGUGUGGAGGCAACAGCCCCAAACACAGUAUUGAAUUGUAUGAGGUCACUAUGGGCGCUCUUUGUGACCUAAAGGCUGUGAUGCUUGUGUGGUGGAGGAGAAGGGCUAUGUGAGCUGGGCUGGCAGGAAGAGACCUAGAGAGAGAGGUGUGCUCCCAGGUGUCUCUCUGCCCCUUCCUGACUGUGUGAUCUUGGCAUAGCCCCUGCCCUGCCCUACCCUGCCCUGCCCUGCCCUGCCUUUGUCCUCCAAAGAGGAAAGUGGAGCAGAGGACCUCUGUGAUGUCUCUUAGCCCAUCACCCUACAAACUCUUUCAGAUCCAAGCCCCAUGGCGCUCAGAAAUGUGCCUGGCUGCUGUUUUCCCUUGGGGCACCAUCUGAGUAGCUAGUUCAGUCUUUGUGCAGAGCUGCUAGCUUGGAAGAGGACCAUGGGUCUUUGUGAAUUGGGCUGUAGCACCCAUGCUUCCCGCCCUCCUCCCCUGGCCCCGAACCUCCAUCCCCAACCCCCAAGGCUUUGGUGAUUGGCCCCCCGCGAGCCCAAAGGGGGUGAAGGCGAAGGCAAAGGCGAAGGCGAAGGUUCGAACGUUGCUUGGAUAACAGUUGCGAACUACAUUCGACGGGUGUCCAGGGGUCUUGGGGCUUGAGCUCUCAGUGGCCAUUGGGCUUCUCUCCUUAGGCAGCGGAGCCUCUACUAGGCUUUGACUGGGUCCCAUGGCGUGUCUGUCUUGUCUCUCUUCUCUCCCAUCCAUUGCCAGCCCUCGGGAGACCCGGAGACAAGCGGAGCUGAGUUCUAUCUGGAGGUGUGGCGCUGAGCGCGAGAGUGUUGACAUCAGCACCCCUUCGGUGAGGCUCCCUUUCUUCUCCCGCCAACGCAGCCCCAUCCUCCAUUUGCCCCCACCAUGCAGCACACCCCCUUCCCUCUGCCUAGAUUCAGCUCUGCAAGCCUGCCGACUCUGUCUCGGACUCUGUGCCCUCCUGCCCACUCCUUUCCCUCUCCCAAUGCCCAUCCCUGGCGCUGGACAUGGAUGGAAGGGACCACAGACACCAGCACAGAUGCCUAGGGACCCUCAGCUGUCUCUCCAACUUCCAUUACUCUAUAAAACCUCCCAGUUGGAAGGCUCCCAUAUGUCCUCAGUCUAUUCAUGUCAAGGGCUCCUCUUCCCCUCCCUGUCUCUUCUCUCUGUCCCUCUCUCUCUUCUCUCUGUCCCCCCCCUCUCUCUCCCUCCCUCUCUCUCUCUCUUUCUCUCUCUCUCUCUCUCUCUCUCUCUCUCUCUCUCUCUCUCUCUCUCUCUCUCUCUCUUCUCUCUGUCCCUCUCUCUUUCUGCUUAGGAGACUGUAAAGCUUCUCUGUACAGUCCUCCAUGCAGUAGGAUAUUGUCUACUUGAAUUAUGUGAUUCGUAUUCCUGAUUUUAUUCUUUCAUAUAGAGCAAAGAUUUGCACUCCUCUAUAUGAAUAUUUAAUGUGACAACUCCUAGGAAGAGGAGAGAAGGAUAGUCUUCCUCCACAGGAGUACACAGUCCCUCUUGGUGUAUAGGGCUCAUCCUCCCUGAGGAGUUAUUAUAUGUUCUCCUGAGUAUUCCUUUACAUAUUUAUAUUCUCCAUAUGUUCUCCCCCUUCGAUACUCUCCAUAGGAGAAGAGGUGUAUAAUAUGUCAGAUUCUCUGAGGUGAUUGUGCCGCGGUGAGUAUUGCUGUGUGGGUUUCUGGUACAACAACAUCUCUUUAUCCAACUUUAUAAGAAAGAGGCUGGAAUAUGACCAGCUGAGAGGGGUUUUUACAGGCUCCAGGUUCUUCUUUUUGGCUUCCCUUUUUCUUUGCACCACUGCCAGUCUCUUCUCAAAUCAAUGAGUGGCUUCAGGAGACCAUGAUGGAUAUUUGGGGUCCAGGACUUUAGUAGUUCUCCCCUGGGGGGUCCUUUUUACAGCUCUGAUCUGGCUUCUGGCCUCAUGGCCUUUCUAUUUAGGCUGGUUGCCUGUUGAGGUCCAUGAGGCUAAUGCAGUGUGCAUGGUGGGGCAGAACCUUUCUGCUUGGGUUGGGCACAGCCCCACAAACCUGUCCACUCUAAGAAUGGAAAGGGCAGCUUUCCACUGAGCUCUGGAGAAGGGGCAGCAGCAGCAGCAGCAGCAGCAGCAGGAGGCUUUCUGACUCUCCUCAUUGCCCUAGAAUCCUAGGGCAGCCCAAGCAGAUGCAUUUGUCUAGCAUCCAAGUCCUCCCUCUGCUCUGCCCAUCACCUCCACCUUCUUUCCAAUCCUUGAAAGCCCAGGAAGUUUGGACCUGCUGAUCAAGUAAGUGCUGCUGGUCCUCUUAGUGGAUUCAGCCCCUCUCCAUGGAGCCUUCCUUGACCACUGCCUGUCCAAGGUUCUCCCACUUGGCCCAGCUCUUGGCCAGGACUUCCACAUUCAGCUUAGGAAAGGCUCUCCUCUCCUCUCCCUCGUUGGGCUUGGGGUGAAACUGGUGAUGGCCAUCCCCCUUCUUUCACUGAUUGAAGAAACCCAUGCUGAGAUGCAGUGGGGUUUGCUCAGACUCCUCCUGCUAAGUGUCCAUCCUUGGGCUUUUUCUUUCCACCUGACUCCUCCAGGCAAAAAUCAGACUCCAAGAACCAGUAUUUUCAUGGAUAAUCUGCCAGCCGUGCCUCUUUUAUUUGUGGAGGCAGCAUCUGGACAGCAAAGUAUUUUAUUCUGUAUUCAGUCGAUAUGAACCUCCUAAGUGACCUCCAGUGAUGCCUGCCCAUUGGAGGAGAUAGAGGCCCAGGUGUAAGACAGCUAGGCUUGCAGGAAGAGAGAUAGAGAAGGGUGGGGGGCAGUAGGUGGAGGUGGGGCAGAGAGAGGGAGGGAGCUGGACUCAUAGGCCUGUUUCUGCCCCUUCCUGGCUCUGUGAUCAUAGCCAAGCCCUUGGCCUGGCUUGGGCUUCCCUUCUCUACUGUGACCAGUUGAGGAAGUCUGAUUAGAUGACCCUUGAGGGCUCUUUUCUGUUAGGCCUCCAUCCCAUACCAACAUACAAGCCCUUUCAGACACACUGGAACCCCACCUCCCUGAGAGCACUCUAAGAGGUUACUGGUUUCUUUUGGGUGCUGUCCCCACUAGCUAGGACAGUGGUUUGAAGCUUUAUCCCUUGGAAUAAAACCCAUGGGUCUUUGUGGAGCUGUUUUAAGGUCUGAGAUUUCACCCAUCACCAAGGAGGACCCGAGGACAAUCCAGUCAGGCAACAAAGGAGUCGUUUAUUGAAUUGGUUCCCACCAGUGGAAACUCUGCCAUCAGAAUUCUAAGUUGCCUCUGAAAGGGUGGGUCUUAAGUACUUUUCAGCAUGUAUGGCCGUCAUUACAGCCCCUUAUUACAGCCCCAUAUCUGCUACAUACCAUUGUUGGAACCUUGACAAUUUUAUGUUAUUGGGCUCUUCUUGGCCUUCAUCUAGUACCCACUGCAGCUGGUGUUCUGGCAUAUUUAUGGUUCUGAACUCCCAAGGCCAGGCAGCUGCCUGUUAAGGCUGGGCAAUUUCUCGAUCUGGCCUCCCUCAUUUCUGACUUCUUUUUGUUUUGGAGGACAAAGGGAAGGUCUGCCCACUGAGGCAGCUCGUGGCUCUCAGCCCAGGGCUCGGUAGUGGAUAGUGGUCUGUUCUGUGGUAGGGAAACCAACAGCUGGAUGUUAUCCGGCCAGUCUUUCACAAACCGAACAAGGUGGUUAAAAAUGGAGGGGCCAUAUGUUUCGAUUAGGGUUAAAAUUAUAAGGGGUCCUAUAAGAGACAUGACUAGGGUAGUGAGCCAGGGAGAGGAGUUGAAAAGGUGGGUGUACCAGGGGCCGGCAGUUUCUCUCUCCUUCUGCCGGGCUUCUAGACCUUCAUGUAGCUUGCUCAGGGAGUCCCUAAUAAUCCUAGAGUGGUUAACAUAGAAGCAGCAUUCUUUGCCCAAAGCUGCACAGAGGCCCCCUUAAGGAAGAGGAGGUCCAAAUCUCGUCAAUUUUGAAGGACAACCUUGGCUAAGGAGGCAUGGGAUUUUUCAAGGAAGUUAGUUGAGGAUUCCAGCUUAGCUAUACCCUCAUCGACCGACUUUUGGAGGUGUUGGUACCCCUGAGCCUGUGUGGCGAGGGCAGCAAUGCCCAGCCCUGCCCCUGUCGCUGCUAAGAGGGUGGCUACAGUGAUGGCAGUAGUGACAGGUUCUCACCUCCAUCGCCUAGACGAUAUGUGGUCCCACAUCUGAAGGAUGUCCUGCUCAGCAUUGUAGGUCACUCGGGGUACUAUUGUGACGGGUGUGCAGAACUCGUGGCGGUCAAUGAGGGAGCUAGGGUAGACACAGGGCUGAAGCCCAGAGCGGGAGCACAGCCAGUGUGUUCCUGCAGGUGGGAUAAGGUAUCUCCCCGUUGAGGGAUACUCUGUGGUUGUGCAAAGGCGGGGGUUGGGGUGGCUGGAUUUUCCUGCUACACAGUUGACGCACCAGAUCAGUGCAGAAAGGGUUAAGCCAUGGCCGGGUUUCCCAGGGCCCAUGUCACACCAGG